GGUCAUGAGCGCCAGCGCCAAGCCCCGGCUCGCUGGCCGGCAACCCUCCUCGUCGUGGGGUGCUCCGGGUGAGGACCGGACCCGUGCGUCCGCACGGGUAAGGACGACCG
rnacentral:ncRNA from 2 species